CCAGCUCAGUUGGUUAGAGCAUGUUGCUGAUAAUGCCAAGGUUGCAGGUUUGAUCCAGCUACAUAUUCCUGCAUUGUAGA